rnacentral:rRNA from 1 species
UACGUAGGGGGCAAGCGUUGUCCGGAAUCAUUGGGCGUAAAGAGCGCGUAGGCGGUCCGGUAAGUCCGCUGUGAAAGUCAAGGGCUCAACCCUUGAAUGCCGGUGGAUACUGUCGGGCUAGAGUCCGGAAGAGGCGAGUGGAAUUCCUGGUGUAGCGGUGAAAUGCGCAGAUAUCAGGAGGAACACCUGCGGCGAAGGCGGGUUGCUGGGCUGACACUGACGCUGAAGCGCGAAAGCUAGGGGAGCGAACGGG